UGCGCAGGCGGACUAAUAAGUCAGAGGUGAAAGCCCACAGCUUAACUGUGGAACUGCCUUUGAUACUGUUAGUCUUGAGUGCAGUUGAGGUAGGCGGAAUGUGUUAUGUAGCGGUGAAAUGCUUAGAUAUGACACAGAACACCAAUCGUGAAGACAGCUUACCAAGCUGCUACUGACGCUCAGGCACGAAAGCGUGGGGACUAACAGGAUUAGAUACCCUGGUAGUCC
rnacentral:rRNA from 1 species